ACAUGCGCCAUCGUCACCAGCUACUUCUGCGCCCGCGUAUUACAACGCUACUAAAAAACAGCUUUUACGCACAUACAAUCGACCACUAUCCUCCCUCCUUUGCCUCCCCAUCACCCCAUAACGCCCUGCAAACUUGAGCCAUUUUUUCGGGACCGACUACGUCAACACACGGGCAACCAAAACAAUAGCAGCAGGUGUGUGCUAGCUGCUGUGUGUGAAAAGAAAAAAAAAACAGGCUGCCUGUGGCUUUCUCAAUGCUGGGUGUGUCGAAACACACAAAACUUGAAACUGUGGACUAGGUAAAUACGCAGGUCUGCUGCAGCUGUUUGCCCAUGCCUCCUUUUAAAAUUGAAGAUGCUACACGAAAUGAAUUCCUAGGCUAGCUGCUUCACUGGUUCGAUUCCCAAACGUCUUUAAAAUGCCCAAAGCUAGCCAGCAUUCUUCGCCUGAUCGAGAUAACGCAGUGAGCAGUACCCACAGCAAAAAAUGCUGACACAAUUUAGAAAUAAAGACAGGCUUUUCAACAGCUGAUGGUUAUCUAGAAGUGAGAAAGAGUCUCGCUCACCUUGUUCGAUGUAGUGAGCCAUCACGAGAGUGGGAACCUGCAAAGCUGUAAAAAUAAAACUGAAUGAAUGCAAGGGUUUUUUUUUUCUUUUAACAAGCAACACUUUCAAGUACAACACGGUCUCGCCGUUUACCAGGUGCGGAAUAGUUUAAUAUGCGUGACCAGAUUCGUCGCUGCAGCAAUAAUGCCAAACAAUCAGCCGAAAGAAAGGAUCGAGGUCACCGUUUCGUUGCUGUACCUUUUCGUUUAGAUUUUCUUCUUGCUCUAAUUCAUUCAAAUUAAUAUUUGAGAAUAUUGUACAAACAGUCUAAUUGUAGUAAAACACGAUAACUUAAAAACAAAAAAAAAAA